rnacentral:rRNA from 1 species
UGGGGGAUAUUGCACAAUGGAGGAAACUCUGAUGCAGCGACGCCGCGUGAGGGAAGAAGGUCUUCGGAUUGUAAACAUCUGUCGGGGGGGAAGAAGGAAGAGACGGCACAGCAAGACCACGCCACAACAAAAAAUUUAA